UACGUAGGAUGCAAGCGUUAUCCGGAUUCACUGGGUUUAAAGGGUGUGUAGGCGGGGCGGUAAGUCAGUGGUGAAAUCCUGUAGCUCAACUACAGAACUGCCAUCGAUACUGUCGCUCUUGAGUAUAGUUGAGGUGGGUGGAAUAUGACAUGUAGCGGUGAAAUGCUUAGAUAUGUCAUAGAACACCGAUCGCGAAGGCAGCCCACCAAGCUAUUACUGACGCUGAAACACGAAAGUGCGGGGAUCAAACAGG
rnacentral:rRNA from 1 species